GUCCAUUUCAAGUUAACUCUGU
rnacentral:miRNA from 1 species